AUAGUAACUCCGCCUGUAGUUCUUCCAGAGUUACUGCCGGUCUCAAGCCCGGGUAAAGGAGGAGGGUUGU
rfam:Schistosoma haematobium scaffold114_31, whole genome shotgun sequence.